UACGCAGGGGGCUAGCGUUGUUCGGAAUCACUGGGCGUAAAGCGCACGUAGGCGGAUUCUUAAGUCGGUGGUGAAAUCCUGGAGCUCAACUCCAGAACUGCCUUCGAUACUGAGAGUCUCGAGUCCGGGAGAGGUGAGUGGAACUGCGAGUGUAGAGGUGAAAUUCGUAGAUAUUCGCAAGAACACCAGUGGCGAAGGCGGCUCACUGGCCCGGUACUGACGCUGAGGUGCGAAAGCGUGGGGAGCAAACAGG
rnacentral:rRNA from 1 species